UACAAUACCAGAGAAGAGAGAAAGAAGCAGAAACGUGUUUGAAGAAGAAUAAAGAGGGAGAUUAUGUUAGAAGAUGAAAAGAAAGAGAGAAAGCACCGGGUAUUAUAGAUGAAAAGAGAAGAAUCAUUCAACACACGCAUUCAACUCUUUGAGUUGAGUUGAGAUGAGAAGACAUAUAUCUAACUUCUUUACUACCUAAGCACACACUCCUAACAAGCAUUCAACACAUGCAUUUACACUAACCACAACCUAACAAGCAUUUAUUAACCUAACUACUAUCCAAACUGAUAUCACGUUUUGCAUACU
rnacentral:lncRNA from 1 species